rnacentral:rRNA from 1 species
GGGGAAUAUUGCACAAUGGGCGAAAGCCUGAUGCAGCAACGCCGCGUGAGUGAUGAAGGCCUUCGGGUCGUAAAACUCUGUCCUCAAGGAAGAUAAUGACGGUACUUGAGGAGGAAGCCCCGGCUAACUACGUGCCAGCAGCCGCGGUAAUACGUAGGGGGCUAGCGUUAUCCGGAGUUACUGGGCGUAAAGGGUGCGUAGGCGGUCUUUCAAGUCAGGAGUGAAAGGCUACGGCUCAACCGUAGUAAGCUCUUGAAACUGGGAGACUUGAGUGCAGGAGAGGAGAGUGGAAUUCCUAGUGUAGCGGUGAAAUGCGUAGAUA